rnacentral:lncRNA from 1 species
UAAUAACUUGCAACCUAUUCUUUUUAAGUGAAAAUUUCUUUCUGAUGCCGAAAUUUUUGAGCUUCAUCAAUAUAUAAAUUUAUUUGCUAUUGAGUUUCAUGCUUGCUUUCCAAAAGAAAGUUUCACGCGAAAAAUGCAUGAACUCAUUUUCAAUGUGCCACUAUUUGUAAAAUUGCAUAAAACUAUUGGGUUGCUGAGUGAAGAGGAGGGAGAGUGUUUGCAUAAUAGCAUAAAUAAGGAAUUAAGGCAGUUGCAUUCAGUUAGAAAUCAGGAGCAAAAGCUGCAUCUUGUUUUAAAACGCUUUGAAUUGCACAGCAAAGCUGAUAGGAAGCUUCAAGCCUCUAAGGUGAGAAAGUGUGUUUUGUGUUCAGAGCGUGGCGAAAAUUCAUUUUAUAGACAAGGUCUUUGUCUUGUUUGUGGUCAUCAAAUUUAGUUUAAAUGUUUGAAAAGUUAAAAAAAAAAUUAAACUUUUUACAUCUAAGAUAAAUUAUAUAAGAUCCUUAAUUUACAAAUAAGAGAAUUCUAUUCUGUUUUAAUGCCUGUAAUGUUUGUUCAAAAUAAUAAUAAUUUUUUAUUACAAUGAUUUUAUAUAUUAGGUAGAUGCCCAUUCUGUUCCUAUUUUCAAAAGUUUAUUAUAUCUAUGCAAUGCCUUUGCUCAGGUUAAAGAAUGGAAUAAAAGUCUAGCAUCAAAUGUAUAGCUAACUAUUUUAAUUUGUGAUCAGAGCAACUGAUCUCCGUUCAAUUUUUAUCAUCAAAAGUUAGUUCUACCUUCGCAGGACCUCUGCUCUACAUACCUCCUCUCUGGUUAAAGAAUGGAACAUAAGUCUCAUUUAUCAAGUUGGUGUAAAAAUUUAGCUUGAUAAAUUAAGAAGUUGUAAACUUUAUUAUCACAAUUGCCAAGUUGACCAAAUGUUCUUCUGGCUUUAAAUGAAUUAUGUAUGAAUCUAGUAUCAACUGGGUGUUCAAAGAUAGUUUACUGCUUGAAGAACUUAUCAAUGGACCAACUAAUUAUGAAACAGUUUUCAAUGAAAAUAAAAACGAAUUAUCAAAAGAUUUAAAUCAGCUAUUUGUGUAUAUUUAAACACUUAAUUUUUUGUGAGAAGAGAUUAUUGAUACAAGUA